GGAGAGAUGGCUGAGCGGACCAAAGCGGUGGAUUGCUAAUCCAUUGUACGAGCUAUUCGUACCGAGGGUUCGAAUCCCUCUCUCUCCG
rnacentral:tRNA from 3 species